rnacentral:rRNA from 1 species
UGACCUCAAAUCAGGUAAGAUACCCGCUGA